CGAGACCAUUGUAGAAAAUACAAUACUAACAUCAGAUGACCAUAACAUAUCAGCGCAAGAAGGUGAUUCCAAAAAUGGUGAUGGAUUAUGAUGAAAGUUCUUUAGUUAAAAGUCCUGCUAAUGAUUCAGAUCUAUAUCCGAACUAUACACCUGAUGAUGAAACUUUACGAAUAAAAAGAAAGAGAAAAUUCCAUGAUUGUAUGUACCUUCCCAUUUUGGUGCGUUAUUAGUAUUUUUUUUAUAGAAUGUUUUGUAAAACUUAACUUUAUUGCAGAUUCAGACGUUGGUACGGAAAGUCAUGAAGGUAAUAACGAGAACUCUCCAAUAAUACAAAAAAAAUCUCAAAAGAAGAAAAGAGCAAGAACUACUUUUGGAGAGAGGCGUCAAUAUUUUAAUGCACACAUAGAAUUUAAAACAAUUAAGCAGAGGAAAACUGAUAUUAAUAAUAAAAGGCAGUGCUCACUUUCUUAUACUAUGGACAAAUCUGAUGGGACAAAAGUUCAAGUAUGCAAACUUAUGUUUUUGCAUGCACAUGGAUUAAACACUGACGGCAUGAUAACUGAAUUUAAGAGGAAACAAAAUGUAUCAAAAGGGCUUGAUAUUUUUACUGAUAAACGUGGAAAGUCAACGCCUUCAAAUAAGAAAGAUGGAGAACUAUUUAAGCAACAUAUACAGAGUCUUACAAUCCACAAGUUUCCCAUUACAAGUUCUCCCAUGCUCCUAAUAGAAGAUAUCUACCUUCGGAUUUAAAUGUAACAUCUAUGUGGAAAGACUUUUGUGAACAUCAUGAAAAGGUCUCGUAUGAAAAAUAUCGACAUGAGUUUAAUUUGUUAAACAUCGGGCUUGAGCAACCCAAUCAAGACGAAUGUAGUGAUUGUAUAUUACAUAAAGAACAAGAAAAAAUCUGUAAAGAAUCAAGAGAAUCUUGCACUACAUGUACCGAUUUUGACAAACAUCAUUUAUUGUAUGUUGAAGCAAGAAAGGCUUACGAAGAUGACAGGGACAAAAAAAGAUAUCCAAAUUCAUUUUGAGUUUAUAGUGUGGACAUACAAAAAGUUCUCCUUUUACCAAAAAUGUCUCUAAAGUCGUCUGUUUUUGCCAGAAAGUUAGUUGUGUUCAACGAAACAUUUGCUUCGCUGCUAAACAAUGGGGAAAAUAUUUGUGUUUUGUGGCAUGAAGCCAUUAGUGGUAGAUUAGCAGAGGAUGUGGCAUCGACUUACCUUGCAGUAAUGCAAAGAGCCUCUGCUGAUGUAGAACUACUUAUUUUGGUGCGACAACUGUAGUGCCCAAAAUAAAAAUUGGAGGCUUUAUGCUGUAUUCGUAUCUAUUGUAAAUUCUAACUGGGGACCAAAAUGCAUAACAGUUAAAUAUUUUGAAGCAGGUCAUUCUUAUAUGAAGGCCGAUGCUGUUCACGGCCAAAUGGGAAAGCUUUAAAGAAGAGAGCUAACGUUUACGACUUGAAUGAAUUAAAUGAACUUAUUCUUAAAACAUCAAGAAAAAACAAAACACUGCUUAUGUCUUAUGAAGACUUUUAUGAAUUUAAAGAAGGGGCAAGGCAAAAGAAAAAAGCAGAUGAAACAAUGCCAUUGCUAAACGAAGUUAAAGUAGCAGAAUUUCGAAAGGGUACCAAAAAUGUAUUUUUCAAAAAAAAUCAUACGGA